rnacentral:rRNA from 1 species
UGGGGAAUAUUGCACAAUGGGCGAAAGCCUGAUGCAGCAACGCCGCGUGAGUGAUGAAGGUCUUCGGAUUGUAAAGCUCUGUCUUUUGGGACGAUAAUGACGGUACCAAAGGAGGAAGCCACGGCUAACUACGUGCCAGCAGCCGCGGUAAUACGUAGGUGGCGAGCGUUGUCCGGAUUUACUGGGCGUAAAGGGUGCGUAGGCGGAUGUUUAAGUGAGAUGUGAAAUACCCGGGCUUAACUUGGGUGCUGCAUUUCAAACUGGAUAUCUAGAGUGCAGGAGAGGAGAAUGGAAUUCCUAGUGUAGCGGUGAAAUGCGUAGAGAUUAGGAAGAACACCAGUGGCGAAGGCGAUUCUCUGGACUGUAACUGACGCUGAGGCACGAAAGCGUGGGUAGCAAACAGGAUUAGAUACCCUGGUAGUCCACGCCGUAAACGAUGAGUACUAGGUGUAGGAGGUAUCGACCCCUUCUGUGCCGCAGUAAACACAUUAAGUACUCCGCCUGGGAAGUACGAUCGCAAGAUUAAAACUCUAAGUGAAUU